AGGGGAAAGUGGUGGUUGUUUCUUCUGCUGAGACCACUGAAAACACAAGGGAAAUGUAGCAUGAACACAAAGGAGCACAUGUGCAGGACAAAUACUGAGAGCUCUUUGAACUGCAAGCAAUUGUGAGACUUUAAUAAGAAAAAGAAAACACAUUAACUUCUCAAUGUGUCAAUCAUUGUGCCAACCAAGAAAACUAUCAAUAUGAGAACAAAUGCCCAGGAAAAUUGUUUUGUACAGUCACAGAAUUUCUUAGAUUGGAAAAGACCUUCAAGAUCAUAGAGUCCAAUCAGUAGUUUCACGCUGACCAGUCCUUGACUAAACCAAAUCCCACAGCACAAUAUCUAAUCACUAUGAUUCACUGUGGUUGGAAAGGACCACUAGGAUCAGCCAGUCCAACCUUCAUCCCAGCAUCCUUAAUCACUACACCAUAGCCUCAAGCAGCACAUCCAUUCUCCUUUUAAACACCUCCAUGGAUGACGACGACUCCACCUCCCUGGGGACCCCCGGUAAACCAACCACAUCCUGACAAAAGUUCCUGUAGUACAAAUUUUAAUUCCAUACUACUAUUUCUAACCUAUUUCAAAUAACUUUACAUUCAUUUUAAAUCAAGGCAGCUUUCACAGUUGAAGCAAAAGUGUCAGCAUUCCAUAGCAAUUUUUCAUCUUUCAGAAUCAGUUCACAAGAAUGAGUCCUAAGACUAAUAAAAUGACAGACACUACAAGAGAGAAGAAAAAUGCUAAGCAGUACUGGAAGUGUAUUAUGAUGACUUGUAAAAUAAUUGUUUGCACAAAGGACAUGCUUUAUUAUCAUAUUGUUAAAUUAAGACAUUAUUUAUGUGAAUAUGUUACUUUGUAUAAUAGCAUAAUAAAAUUGCAA